UUCCAGGCAGCAGCCUUGGAAUGCUCCACUGUCUACUGUCGAGGGGUGAGGCUGGUGAGUCACUGGGCUGUCUGCUGGAUGCCGGCCUCAGCUGACCCUGUACUCUGUUUCUCCCAAAGCUGCGGGGCCUCCCGUGUCUGCCCGUGUCUGUUCUGACUCCAGAUCAUCAGAUUCUCCCUACUUCCCUGUGUAGCCAGCAAGGCAGACAUGAAUGUGCCUGUUUUACGGAUGGGAAUACUGAGGCCUAGAGGGCUGGUGUGCAGCAGAGCCAGAUGAGUUCCUGGAAAUCCUCCAGUUAGUUCCCAAUAAGGCUGCACGGAGGACCCCCUUGACCGUGGCAAUGGAAGGGGGCCCAGCGGUCUGCUGCCAGGAUCCCCGGGCAGAGCUGGUGGAGCGAGUGGCAGCCAUCGAUGUGGCCCGCUUGGAGGAGGCAGAUGGUGGCCCGGGGCCUGCCAGGAACGGCGUGGAACCCCCACCGCGGGCCAGAGCUGCCUCCAUGAUCCCCGGCAGUGCUUCAGGACUCCCCCUACCCCGACCCAGCCUCUCCACCAGGAAGCUGUCCCUGCAGGAGCGGCCAGCUGGAAGCUGCCUGGAGGCCCAGGCUGGGCCUUACACCACGGGGCCUGCCAGCCACAUCUCCCCCCGUGCCUGGAGGAGGCCCACCAUCGAGUCCCACCGCGUGGCCAUCUCGGAUGCAGAGGACUGUGUGCAGUUGAACCAGUACAAGCUGCAGAGUGAGAUUGGCAAGGGUGCCUACGGCGUGGUGCGGCUGGCCUAUAACGAGAGUGAAGACAGGCACUAUGCAAUGAAAGUCCUUUCCAAAAAGAAGUUACUGAAGCAGUAUGGCUUUCCACGUCGCCCUCCCCCGAGAGGGUCCCAGGCUGCCCAGGGAGGACCAGCCAAGCAGCUGCUGCCCCUGGACCGGGUGUACCAGGAGAUCGCCAUCCUGAAGAAGCUGGACCACGUGAAUGUGGUGAAGCUGAUCGAGGUCCUGGAUGACCCAGCUGAGGACAAUCUCUAUUUGGUGUUUGACCUCCUGAGAAAGGGGCCGGUCAUGGAGGUGCCCUGCGACAAGCCCUUCCCGGAGGAGCAAGCUCGCCUCUACCUGAGGGACAUCAUCCUGGGCCUUGAGUACCUGCACUGCCAGAAGAUUGUCCACAGGGACAUCAAGCCAUCCAACCUGCUCCUGGGGGACGACGGGCACGUGAAGAUCGCCGACUUCGGCGUCAGCAACCAGUUUGAGGGGAACGACGCCCAGCUGUCCAGCACGGCCGGCACCCCGGCGUUCAUGGCCCCCGAGGCCAUCUCCGAUACCGGCCAGAGCUUCAGUGGGAAGGCCUUGGAUGUGUGGGCCACGGGGGUCACGCUGUACUGCUUUGUCUAUGGGAAGUGCCCGUUCAUCGAUGACUACAUCCUGGCCCUGCACAGGAAGAUCAAGAAUGAGGACGUGGUGUUUCCUGAGGAGCCAAAGGUCAGCGAGGAGCUCAAGGACCUGAUCCUGAAGAUGCUAGACAAGAAUCCCGAAAGGAGAAUUGGGGUGCCAGACAUCAAGCUGCACCCGUGGGUGACCAGGAACGGGGAGGAGCCCCUUCCCUCAGAGGAGGAGCACUGCAGCGUGGUGGAGGUGACCGAGGAGGAGGUGAAGAACUCCGUCAAGCUCAUCCCCAGCUGGACCACAGUGCACGGCCCACCUAGCAGCUGCCCCCCAGGGAGUCCGAGCAGAGGCUGCCAGUGGGCCUGGUGCUUGGGGGCCUGUGUUCCUCAUGCUGACGGACCUGCCCUCCUAGAUCCUGGUGAAGUCUAUGCUGAGAAAGCGUUCCUUUGGGAACCCGUUUGAGCCCCAAGCACGGAAGGAAGAGCGCUCCAUGUCUGUCCCAGGAAACUUACUGCUGAAAGACGGGUGUGGUGAAGGCAUCAAGAGCCCGGAGCUCCCUGGUGUCCAAGAAGACGAGGCUGCGUCCUGAGCCCCUGCAUGCGCCCAGGGCCACCCAGCAACACGCUCAUCCUGCGCCUCCAAAGGCCCCUGCACUCAUGUCGACAGCUGCCCCUGCGGGCAGGGGGCUGGGGACUGUGGACCCUCUCCUGGCUCCCCUCCCCCCGUCAUGCUGCAUGACCUCUGCGCGUGUCCGAGACAGGAUUGGAAUGUGUGUCAUCUGGGGUUUGGUGGGCAGGGCUCCCUCGAGCCUUUCUCCUCGUCUUGGCUCUCCCCGUGGAACCCACAUUGUGGGGAAGGUAGGUACGCUCGGUGCCUUAGGAACCCCACAUGGCUCGUCGGCAAGGCCCAGAGGCAGGAGGCAAGAAACCGAGAUGGCAGGAGGAGGCCUGGCUUACCACCACUGCAGAGACCUCCCACCGGGGCUGGGCAGGCCGAGCUCAGCUGCCACGCACAUGGAGGGGUGUACCCUGCCACCUCGGGGGGCGCUGCCAGAGCUUGAGUCUGCUGAGAACACUGGUAUGGAGUCUCUGAGUCUUCGAUGGGUGUUCCGGGGCCUCACUGGGGCAGGGGCCAGUAUUGGAGAAUUCAGAUUCUCGUUCUGUUGUCUUUUACUUUUGUUUUUUACAUGGGGGCAAGGGGCUAUAAAGACCUGCUUGGGAACAGCACAUGACCUCUCCAAAGCUGUGGGCGGUUCCUAGUGCACCCCACCCUUACGUGCAGCCAGUUGAGCUGAACUGACCUUGCCGGAUUGUGUUCCACACCCAGCACUAGCCAGAGAAAGGGCUGAAUUCAACUCUCAGCAGAGACCUGAGCCAGGAGCACCACGUCUUCCCUGCCCGCAUCACUCCCUCUGUGGCUCCUCAGAGCAUGGCGGCAGGAGAGGCACCAGGGGCCGACAUGGCCUGAGAGCCCUGGACUCACAGGGCCGUGGCCUUGCAGAUGCUGAAGUAACUGGAACCCAGUCUCCAAUCCUACACCGGCCUCCCCAUCUGGCCCCAGAAGCUGCCCUCACAUUCCUACGCUGAAGGACAAACUGCCCACGGUGAAGGCCGCCCUAGAGUGGGGCCUUGGUGGGGCGUGCAUGCUGGCAGGCGGCCAUGGAGCGGCAGGCCUUCCGCCACUGCCUCACCCCAGGCCAGUCCCCAUCCAGCCUGCCCCGAGCUGGAGGGCUGGACUGUGUGUGUUGACCGGCCAGGCUGGGGCAGACAUCUCUCUGGGACUCUGAUGGCGUGGUGUUCGCUGACCAAAUGCUCAAGAGAUUGGCCUCCAAAGGACAGCAAAGCAGGACUCAUCAGAUACCUCCCCUGGAAACGUGGGCCAAACAAGCGGGUACAGUGGCGGGCGUGGGUUUCAUCUCGCAAGAGGACUUGUGCCGAGAAGGAAGGCAGGCCGGGCCGGAGGAGGGUCCCCCCUGCGCAUCUCCGUGCCUGUGGGUGUCCGUCGCGCCUCCCCACACACGCAUGUGCGUGCCCAUCCGCUGCACAGCACACUCGCAUGUCUUGCACUGGCACAUGCAUCUGUAAUAUAGUUUCUAUGUCUAUUUAAGACUGUGAGCAGCACGUGGCCCGUCAUCAUUGGGUCCAUGUUUCUCCCUGGCUCCUCUCCGCUAAAGCAUUGUAACCAGGGCUUAGGAAACAGCUCGGCACUGUUUUUAAGAACACUGUCAUAGAGUUCGUGGGAGGUGGUCACCGACCCGCAAGCUUUUGUUGAGCAUCUCUGCGCUGGGGCCUGGCGGGUGGGGCCUCCAGGGGGCGACGUCCAUCGGACUUGCCCUCGCAGAGCUGCAAGGUGAGCCUGGCUUCGUUGGCCAGGUCACAGCCUGGAUGGCGUGCUGACCCCGCCGCCGUGGGUUUGGGUUGGCAUCGUUUUUGAACGUAGCACACGUGAUGAGUAAACUCCAUAAGAGUGUUUUAAAAAUUAACUUCUCAGGAAGUGAGUUAAAAACAUUAAAAGCCCUUUCUUGAGUUAAAACAA